GCCAGACUCCUACGGGAGGCAGCAGUGGGGAAUAUUGGGCAAUGGGCGCAAGCCUGACCCAGCAACGCCGCGUGAAGGAAGAAGGCUUUCGGGUUGUAAACUUCUUUUGACAGGGAAGAGUAGAAGACGGUACCUGUCGAAUAAGCCACGGCUAACUACGUGCCAGCAGCCGCGGUAAUACGUAGGUGGCAAGCGUUGUCCGGAUUUACUGGGUGUAAAGGGCGUGUAGCCGGGUUGACAAGUCAGAUGUGAAAUCCUACGGCUUAACCGCAGAACUGCAUUUGAAACUGUUGAUCUUGAGUACUGGAGAGGCAGACGGAAUUCCUAGUGUAGCGGUGAAAUGCGUAGAUAUUAGGAGGAACACCAGUGGCGAAGGCGGUCUGCUGGACAGCAACUGACGGUGAGGCGCGAAAGCGUGGGGAGCAAACAGGAUUAGAUACCCUAGUAA
rnacentral:rRNA from 1 species